rnacentral:lncRNA from 1 species
GUAAAACAUGCUCGAGACCUCUAAAAAAUAAUUCAAGGCUUCAUCUAAGCCUUAAAGUAUCCCUCAAAUCCAACAAAACACUCAAAAUCUCGAUUUUAGCAUCCAAAUCUCGAAUAUUAACCAUAGUCAAUCCAAAAGGUAAUAUUUCACAAGUUCACGACUUAGUACCUGAAAUCCUCUAAAUUAAAACCAACAACUCUUGUGAUUUAGCUAAUGAGUUUCGCGGUUAAGUCCUAGUUUUGUUUCGAUUUAAGAUUUUUUUAGCUAUCAUGUUGUAUUUCAAGUUUUGAUAUAUUGAAAUAUGUAAUUAAUCAUGAGGUCUAUUGUAUUAUAUGAAUACAAUUAAAAUUAUGUUAUUUGGAGAAAAUUGAAAGAGUUGACAUAUUAAUUUACAUCAAGAUUUGGAGCUUGAUUGUAUAGUUUACUGAGUUUUUGAGUCUAGACUAGACAUAGUAUUGUGAGUGUUGUUAGUCAUGAAAUCUUAUUGUGGUCAUUUAUUUGAAUAGAUUGCUUUGAGUUGGAAGUUUAACGAAAGGAGAAGGCUCAAGUUAUAGACAGAAUUCUUGAUUGAUAGAACUAAGUAGAUUUAUAAGCCCUUGUUAAGUGUAUGGAAUUCGUGUAUUUUCUUGUAAUAUGUGUUUGAGAGUAAUAAGACUUGGUGACGGGUUGACUUGUCCACAUUGAUUAAUUCUAAGGAUGAAAAGGGGUAAUAAAGGAAAUGUGAUUAAUUGUUUGUGUGAUGUGUUGAGAAUGGUUUGAAAGGCUUGUUGAAUCAUUGUUGGUGUUAUGCUUGUUGUGAAUUGUGAAAUGUUAUGAAAAUGGUCAUUUCCUCAUCGUUUGUGUGGACAUGUCAUUUUCAUGAUUCUGAGACAUGAUUGUGACAAGUGUUAUGAGAAUUGGGAAAGAAUAAGAACUUAAAGAGGAUAUACCAUUUGAGAGACAUAUCGCGCGCCACGAUGGAUAUUAUAUUCAAAGAACGCAUUACACACCGCGACGGAUACAUGAACAGAUAUGUUCCCCAUUGGUCCAGGACUGAGAAACAACGGGUGUGUAUCAAUAAGUCAUGCAUGGAUCACUAUAUCUGACAUUGGAUUAUAUUGCAUUGCAUAUAUUUAUCAUUAGUGAACUUGAUAUUAUGUUUUUUUUAUCUUGUGAGUGCCUUUUUCUGGAACAUUGAUUAAUGAAUAUUAAGCUUGUUGUUGAGGAUACGUAAUUGUUAGAGUCUUGUUGUUGAGGUGUGUGAUAUGUGAAUUAUACGGUUAGGUUGGACUGGUUUUAUGAAGGUUGUAGUAGUGUAGGUUGUUAUUGAUGAAUAUCGAGCUUGUUGUUGAGAAUAUGUGAUUGUUAGAUUGUUGUUGUUGAGAUACAUGCUUGUAAAUUGAAAAUGUCAAAUUGUGUUGGUUUUAUGGAGGUUCGGUAUGGGUGUAAGGAGUACUCAUAUUCUAUCUUUUUAGCUUGUGUUUAGAGAUUUACUUGUUGAGUACAGUGUGGUUGGUUCCCAAUCCAUGCUUAUAAAGUUUGGUAGGUUACUAACCCGGACUUUUGUGUCAUUUUUUUGUCUUCUCUUUGUCUUAGGCUUUUUGUGGAGGCUUGUGAGGUAUUUGUUUGUCAUUUCAACAGACCUUCUUAAUCCUAUUUAUGAACUCGUUCUGCUUUAGAAACAAGGUCAUUUGAGACUUGUGUUUUUAUUUGAAACAAUUGUAGUACUUUAGAGGCAUGUACAGGUGACAACAAGGUUUUGGGGAAUUUUUGAGUUUAUUAUGAAAUUUCCCCAUUGUAUUGUAAUGGUAGAGUUUUAGGCUGUCUUAUCUUGGUGGGAUAAUACGAAUGCCAUCACGUCCAAUUUUUGAUCAUGACAAAUGCUAUCAGAACCCCAAGUUCGUAGCUCACAUGUGUACAAGUCGAGUCUAAGUAGAGUCUUGAGGAUCCGUACGGUGAUGUCUGUACUAUGACACCCUGGAAAAUUUUUGAACUAAGACUCGAGCCAUUCUUGGUAGUGAGUAAGUUUUGACAAGGAAUUUAAAAUUUCUUUUGUAUUAAGUUUAGGUAAGUAGAAUUAGCACCUUGAAUUCCAAAAGAACCUAGAUUGAAAAUAACAAAAAUAUAAAAUUUGGAGAGUUAAGCUAAGUAUGGUUUUGGAUCGAUUUCAAACGACCAGAACUCCUAGAAAAUUAUAAGUUAUGUAUGCUACAAGAGACCAUAGGAAAGAUCUUUGAAUUAUAUUUCCAACGCCGUCAAGUUUGCUAAGUUUUGAGCUCGUAUGAGUGAGAUAUGACAUUUUGAAGUUAGGUUGUUCAGUUAAGGAAAGUUAGCCGAAAACAACGAGGAGUAUUAUAGUUCUUUCCUUACCUAAUCAGAUUUAAUUCUUUUUUAGUAAUAUUUUAGGGUUAUAAUCAUUUUAGGUUCAGUUUUACAAUACUAAUAUAUGCCUAGGGUUUUAGUUGAGAGUUGAAGAAGAGACAAGAAGAGAAAAGAGGAGAAAAGAGGAGAGGAUCAAGCAUUCGUCUAGGUUCUUGCUUCUUGUUGGGAAUUUUGUCAUGGUUCUAAUCCAUAAGAGGUAUGUAAGCUUCCAUAGUGUUGAGUUAGUUCAUCCACACGCCAAUCUUGAUUUAUUUAGCAUAAUUUCGUUCUUGAAAUUUAAGGAUUUAAGUUUUUUAUGAGUUCUUGAUAAGUGUUUUUGAAGUUCAUUAAGUUUUGAUGUAAGAUUCUACUUAGGUCAACUUUAAACGAUUAUAUCUCUUAGAAUAUUAAAAGUUAUAUGAUCCAUAACCUAUUUAAUUGAAGGUAAUUGAAUGUACUUUCUAACGCCACCAAUUUCGCGUCAAUCCAAUUUCCGAGUAAAAAGUUAUGACUAAUUUUAGUAACAUGUACAACGUUGUUACGAAUUAGCCGACGGGAAAACAUUUAAAAGGGUUGUUUUUAUUUAUUUUUUUCCUCCAAGAAAACUCUAAAGACUUUCUUGACUAAUAAAAGGUUCACAACAAUCAGAUUUUCAUCUUUAUUAGUGAAAAUCAUAAUUCUUGGUUAUGGAGAGUUGAGGAAACUAAUUCAAGAAUCUCAAGAAAGGUUUUCUUGAUCAUUUACCUCAAGCUAGGGUUUCAAGGUUUCUAUUCAAGUUGUUAUCCAAGAUUCUUCAAGAAACUUGUUCUUCCUAUCUAAAAUCAUUUCUAACAUGAUCAAAAUCUUCAAUUGCAUAAUUCAAAUUCAAGGUAGAGUUGAGAGUUAAGUUUUGAGAAUUCUUUCGAACGUUCUAAGAAAAUCCUUUUGAGUCAUGUUGAUGAGUCUUCUACAACUUCUAGUAAUUUGUUCCAAGGCUCGAGUAAGUAAGUAGGAGAAUGAGAAAAAAAUCUUGAUGAGUCUACAUUUUCAUCGUGAGAUCCUUCGUAUCAUGAACCAUAACUCUUGAAUUCAUAAUUCACAUUCAAGAGAGAGUUUAGAGUAGAGUUCAUGAAAGCUUUUGAGUUCAAUUAUGAAUUCUUUGAGAUCAAAUACUGAUUUGACCUAAUAUUGGAGGAAGUAAGUAAGAGAAUGAAAAGAGUUGUACUCAUUAGUUCCAGGUAGCUAUGUCAACCUUCGAGUUGAGUCGAUCAUGUCCAUAACUUCUGCAUGAACGUCGAGUAACUUUGAUAGGAAUUUUAUCUUCAAGUUCUAACUUUUGAGUAUUGAGUUGUAACUAUCAUUAUUGAAAACCUUGCAUUGAGUCGUUCACGUCCAUAAUUCGACAUGAACCAUAUUAGAGAAGUCUUUUACAAUUAUUUUAACUUUGUUUUAAUACUUAAGCAUUGAAGUUGAAUAAAGAAUAAAAGUAAAGUUCAUAUUUUAAAAAACGAUAUAUGGGAACUAAGUAUUUCUAAGAGUAAAUGUUUUGCAUUUAAAAUGAGACAAAACUGAGAUUUUCAAAAGAGUUUUGAGCAGUUUGAGUACUAUCUCUUUUAAGAAAAAAAAUGAGUUUGAGAAAGAGUUUCUAAAACAUGAUUAGUAUGACAGUCGAGUAUGUCAUCAAUGUUUAAGUAGUAUGGUAUCUAGAUAUACCAUCAAUGUUUAUGCAGUAUGACUUCCCAAGUCAUCAAUGAUCAUAUUAAAAUAUGAUUUUUAUAUGUUUUAUGAAAGAGUUUUCAAGAGAAAUUUCCUCUUUAAGACCUCUUUAAGAGGGUUGUUUUGAGUAAUUAUCGUAAACUAAAGAAAGAAGUUGUUUUAAAAACACAUGAGCUAAGUAUAUUUUUGGGAGUAGUAUUGAACACCGAUAUGAGGAUGCGAGUUCAUAAUAACUCAAGUCUCCAUAAAUCAUGUAUUCAUCAUGGGUAUUAAUGGAUCAUACUUUUUAGAUAAUCACAUAAGUUAAGUUAGUGGAUCCACUAAGUUAAAUUAGGUCCUAUACUAAUGGCAAGGUAUAGGAUGGUCCUUGGUAGCGUGAGGUAAAGUGUUGUAGCAUCACUAUAGCUCUUAAGUGAUGGUUGUCGGUUAGAGAAACUCCCACAAAAGUUAUUGUAUUUUUAUAUACAUCAGUUAGUUGUAUUUUCAGAUACAUUUCAAAGUUAUGUUGCAUCCUUGUUAUAUACACAGAGUUGACAUCGUGUAUUUAAACAACAUUUCUUUAUAUUGCACUUGUUUUAAACUGCUUUAUAUCGAAAUGAGAUCAGUUAAGUAUCAAGAGCUGAGUAUCUUAAGUUCAUCUGUGAUUCAUUGAGUCGAGUAUCAUAUCUAUGAAGUUGAGUAUCUAAUCUUGAAGUUCAAUAUCUAUUCUUUGAGUUGAGUUGAAAAAAGGUAAGUAUGUUUCCUUUUUAUCAAGUUCAAGCCUAUGUUUUAUGCUUUAGAAUUCUCGUUACAUGCUCGUAGAUUCCACGUACUGAGCCAUUUCGCCUGCAUCUUUUGAUGAUGCAAAUACAAGUAUUCAGGAUCAUCAACAGGAUCUUCAUUGAUAAAUUCGAGACUCGAGUUAGCUAUGGUGAUCCUCCUUGCUUUCGGAGGAUUUCAUUUAAUUUUUUUAUUUAGCUAGGAGGUCAUGGGUCUUGUCCCGACUUCCAUCCUUGUCAGUUAGAGGCUUCAUAUAUAGUUAGUUCAAUUAAGAAGUCUGUAUUAUUCAUUUAUUUUAUUAAACGUUUUAAAGACUUGAGUUGCCUAUUUUUGGGGCGAGUUUAAUAUAUGAUUUUAGGGAAAAUGCACAAGUACACCCUAAACCUAUGCCCGAAAUCUCAGAGACACACUUAUAUUAUACUAAGGUCCUAUUACCCCCUCCUCCCCCCCCCCCCCGAAAUUUUUUUAUAAGUAAUUUUCUACCCCUUUUCGGCCUACGUGGCACUAGCUCGAAAAAAAUGUCAACCAGCGUUGGGCCCACAAGAUAGUGAAUUUUUCGAGGAAUAUAAACAUUUUUCGAGAAAACCUUGGAACACGUUCUCAAAGAACUCUUCGUCUUCCAUAAACCUUUUUUGUCGAAAACAUCAACCUCCAUAAAACAGAUCAUUGUCCAACAAGUCUUCCAUUUUUUAAUAUUGAUUAUUUCGAUAAAGCAGGUUUAUGGAAGAUAAAGAGUUCUAUGAGAAUGUGUUCUAAGGUUUCAAUUUGCCCUAUUUUAUUAAAUAUUUUUUAUAUUCCUUGUAAUUGUAACUUAAUUUUUUGGAGGGAUGAAUUUAUUUAAUGUUAUGUUAUAGGAUUAAAAUGAUAUUUUAUAUACUUGUAUUGUGUCAUGAUCCAGACCAUUGUGAGUGACAUCCAGACUUAACCACCUAAUGGGAAAAGCAGUUGCUAACCUCAAGAGACCCAAAACACCUUUUAUAAAUCAAAGUCAAUCAUGAUAAAAAAAAAUAUAACAAGUUCAACAACUAAGAAUUGAGCCCUCAUAAACUCAAUGUAGAACAUCAACCCCUAAGAACUAAAAAUCAUCAUACCAAAUUCUAAUAAUAUAUAUUGAGGAUGUGACCCUAAACCUAAACAUAAAACUAAUGUUUAAUAUUUGUCCCCGAAGUGAUGGACAAGAAGAGGCAGAAAACCCCAUGGAAGCCUGAAUGAUGUAACUCACCCUUAGGCUUUGAGUUAGACGUCCCUUAACUGACGCCUUGGAUCAGCCAUUGGAAGAUGUUUUGUACUCAAUAAGAAAACAAACAUGUGCAAUAUCAAUACACAAUCAUUGUGUACUUGUAGGAUCACAUGGUCCAUCCAAGAUAUGAAUGUAAACGGUUGACCACAAAGUAGUAACACAGAACAAUACACGUAGCAGCAAUUAUCAACCGUAUUGAUAAAACAACAAUACCUGGAUGCGUGUCUCAUAUGAUCAUAAUGAAAAUGUCCGGUUCACUUAUGGAACCAUAAUCACAUAUUUGGUCCUUUCGUGGAAUAUAAACCCAAACUAUUAGUAUACGUGUGUGGUACCCUAGCCAUACAUAGUUAGUCUAGCGGCAUGGUACAAGUGUCAUCCAUAGUUAGUAAAUCGACAUAGUACCCGAGUCAACCAACAAUUAAUAACAAUCAUUAACAAUAAACAAUGACACUUGAAAACCACAAGUUACAGUAACAAAUCCAUUGCAUGAGACUAUCAACAUGAUAUCAUUGCAUAUCUUUCCCUAAGGAUUUCCUACCAUGCAUUGCAUCAAUGAAACUAUAAAAUAGAUAUACAUACAUAAAUGAUCGUUUUAUUUUACGGUAAGAAAAAUAAACCAUCUUUAAUUUACCACGAGUUUCAACAUCAAUAAACACUGACGGGAGAAGUAAAAGAAAGAUAGAAUCUAUAAUUUCUACAAAAGAACAUCAUGCCUCAUCAACAAAAGAAGUGUCGUCAAGCAAAAAACCUAAAAUAUAAUAAAAUUGAAGGUUAGACAAAAUAUAAAUCCCACGGUAUCCAAGCUACUUGAGAAUAAUUGAAAUGAGAGACAUCCCCAAAACUUAAUUUAAAAAAUAGCCAUUUUUUUUAAUUUAACUUUUUGGGUUAGAGUUAGAAAAAGUAAAAAAUGGGAUAGGGUUGUGGGUUCAUGGGCCUUUCAUCACUUUAAGAACAUAGGGAUAAAAAUACAAUUAUCUAAAAUAUUAUUUUCAUCCAACCACUUUAACAAUGAAGAAAUUCAUCCCUCCAAAAAAGUAAAUUACGAUCCCCAAAAAUAUAAAAAAAAUUUAAUAAAAUAGGGUAAACAUUUUCCGAGGAAGCCUUAGAACACGUUCUUAGAGAACUAUGCAUCUUCCAUCAGCCCGUUUUAUCAAAAUCAUCAACUGAUCAUUAUCCCACAAGUCAUCUAUCCUACAUUAUUACAAAUAUAAGAAAAAUGAGAUUCUAUAAUCGUUCCUGAAAAACAAAGUGGAGUUUGUCUAUUACCAAUCUUAUUCCCACGUUUAGUUGAAUCUUUUUCAAUUUUCUUCCCGAGUUCAGUUGAAUCAUUUUCAAUAUUCUUCGUCUUAAGUAAGUUUAAUCGUUUUUCUAACAAAUUUUAGUCUAUUUGAUUUUCUCAUUGCGAUAGUGUACCCUAGAUUAGAUGUUUGCUUGAAGUUCUGAAAAUCUCGCCCUUUUUAGGUCAUGCUUUUUAUUAGGAAUCAUUACUGAUGAUUUGCUUUGGAUAAUGGGAAGAAAUUUUUUAUUUUUUAUGUUUAUCUAACCUAUCAAUUUGAAACUUUUACUAUAUUCUGGUCGACUUUCAUGGUGUUUAUGUCAAUGGCAUUGUUGAGUUUUGUUGGAACUGGUACUUGUUAUGCAUUUUGUUGGCAUCACUAUGUUUGUGUUAAUAGACUAGUGGCCGAUAUUUUGAUAUGAAAAUUAUGUUUUUGUAUAUAGUAAAAUGGGGCUAAAACUAGAGGCAACAUCGUUAAACGAUUGUUCAUAAGACUUCUAAAAAUAAGAAAAGAAAGGCUGAAGAAGUUUCAAGAUCUUCAAAAAAGAAAAAAAAAUUAGUUAAAGAACCUAAGUCUAACUCAAAUUCUAAUACAAUUGUUGGAUUGACAACUAUAAGGACAGUAGUUCUCAGUCUAGUGAUGAUGUUAAAUCUAGCGAAGAAAACCCGAUAGUGGAGAUGACGAGAGUAGUAGAGAUGUCCAGAUACUGGACAUGAGGAUGAUAAUCCCCUGUCCUUGCCAAUUUGUGCCAUAGAAAUCUCUAGUAAGUUGUAUAAUCUAACAACAUGGAUGUAUAAAUUAGGAUCGUUUAUAACGAAAAUUUUUCUGAGAGAAAGCAUGACUCUUUAUCAUGAUUGAAGUAAACUUUUAAUUCAGGAAAAAAUUACAAUGACUUUAAAGGUACUUGUUUUGGACACUUGAGGAAUAUUCCAAAAUAUUUCAAGUUUAAUGGACAGAUGGUCCAUUAUAUGUUGUUACGAUGUUUAAAAAAUGAUUUUAAAAAAAUAUUUGCAUGAGAUGUGGUUUUGUGUGAAUGACAAACCUGCUUGUCCUCAUCUCAUGCAUUUUUAUAUUUUUUUUAAUCAUUUUCAAACGUUGCAACAACAUAGAUGGAAGUGGGAAAUAUAGGUAUAGAUUUUGUAGUUGGUCUCCCCAAGACCUUGGAGAUAUUUGACUUUAUUUGGGUUGUGGUUGAUAGAUUGACUAAGUCAGUCCAUUUUAUUCCGAUAAGGGUAGAUUACAAUUUGGAACAACUAGCUAAAAUCUAUGUGAAAGAGAUAGUGAGGUUGCUUGGGGUGCCCCCUUUCUAUCAUCUUAGAUUGUGGUACGUUUUUCACCUCCAAGUGUUAGAGGAAGUUGCAUGAUAUAUUGGGUACAAAACUUACUUCUAAAAUAAACCUUCAUCCCCAGAAGGAUGGACAAUCGGAAAGGACUAUUCAAGUGUUGGAAGACAUGUUGAGAUCUUGUGUGAUUGACUUUGGAGAGCAUUGAGAUAUUAUUACCACUAUGCGAGUUCUCUUACAAUAACAGUUAUCACUCCAGCAUUGAUAUGGCACCAUUUGAGGUAUUAUAUGAGAGGGAAUGUAGAUCACUCAUAUGUUGGUUUGAGGCUAGAUAUGUAAAAACUUUGGGGGUCGACUUAAUGAACGAUUCUCAAGAUAAGGUGAGGAGCAUUAAACCUAAACAUCUAAUUGCUCAGAGUAGACAAAAGAAGUAUGUAUAUCAUAAGGUGAGGGACAUGGAGUUUCAGACGAGUGAAAAUGUCCUUCUCAAGGUAUCACCCAUGAAAGAGGUGAUGAAAUUCGAUAAGAAAGGAAAGUUGAGUCAGCGAUAUAUUAGUCUCUUUGAGGUUCUUGAAUAUGUAAGACUAGUGGAGUUUAGAUUGGCGCUACCCUUUAAAUUGUUCGAAGUACAUACAUAUUUCGUGUGUCUAUGUUGAAGAGAUAUCAUGGAGACGAUGACUAUAUUUUUAAGUAGGAUUCAAUUGUGCUAGAUAAAGAGCAAAAAUAUGACGAGGAACCGAUUGCUAUUCUUGAUCGUGAUGUUUGUAUGUUCAGGACCAAAGAAAUCAAGAACGUGAAGGUUCAAUGUAAGCAUCAUCCAGUUGAUGAAUCUUUUUGGGAGACUUGAUAAGGACAUGUGAGACAAGUAUCCACAAUUAUUCAUUGAAUCAAGUACUACUUCGCUCUUUCCUCAACCCUUUUUUCCUAAGUUUUAUCACUCGGGAAAGAGUGAUGGGUAAAUUAAUAUCUAUUGCAACGACCGGGUUCCUUAGUUAUAGAAAUGCCAACGAGGAAAAAAAUUGGGGCCGAAAAACUGUUUGUAGAAUAGGAUUUUUCCAACCUUGUCCAGAUUUGAAGAAAAUCGGUGUCAUCAAGAUGUGAGGAAAUCUUAAUCGGGUGGAUUAAAUAUGAAUUUGAUUACAUAAUCGGUUAGAUAAAUCUUUAAAGAAUCCGUAAAACUUUACGAAAUUGAAUUUGGAUAAGUAGAUCUCCAGGAAUCGAUCUUAGCAUUAAAGGAAUUUUCUGAGCGUAAUAGUUUAAGAGUGUGAUGUAAAAGGGAAAACUGAAAUUCUGUAAAAAGUGUAUUGUCUCCAAUCGUGCCGCUAGAGCGGGAUGGGUGCUGUUGUAGCGAAUGAGAUGUGGAUUUAAAGUCAAAGAUUUUGAGAUUUUUCAACGAGGCUCACUGGUCAAAAAGAUGACGUUGCAGCAGGAUUAGUGCCGCUACAAUGGGAUGGGUGCUGCUAUAGUGGGACAGGCGCAAAUAAUGUCAUAAAUAAAACCCGUAAACAAAUUUAUUUGGCACUUUUUAACUUUUAGAGCUAAAGAACGACCCCUGGGUUAUUCCAACUCAUUUUUUACCAUUAUCGAAGAUAAAGGUAAGCUUUCCACUCCCCGAAUUUGCUUUUUGAUCCGUUGAACAUAAUAAAAUGGGUCAAUAUUAAUAAGGAAGGGUUUCUUGAUAGAUUCUAUGGUGUAAUUAACCUAGUUUGACUAGUUGAGAUCCUGAGUAUGAUCUAAGGUUUUUAGAAUUGUUAGUAAUUCGAAUAAUUACUAAUUUUUUAUUGAUUCCCGUGUUAUUGUAUUUUUUGUAGACUAAGAACAAGCAGAACAAAUAUCGGAAAUAAGAGGAUCAAGUGUCUUAGGGUUUUAAGCUUGUUUUGAAGUAGGUGAUGGUUGUGAUUUUAUGAUUGUGUAAUGUAUACAUGUUCUUUCUUCAUUAUGAUACUUGUAUGUAUAUGAAUGUCGUAAUAUUGAUCAGUUCAUUAUAAUCGAGAUAGACGAAGAAUUUAUUCAUGAAUUUAUGAUGUAAAUGUAUGAUCUUGAUGAUGUACUUGUGAUUGUGACUGUGGUGUGAGAUUAGGGAUCGAAUUGUCACGUUAUAGCAAACUAACUUGGAUCGGAUUUCUACGUUCUGACAUAAAUAUUGGAUUGGGUUGCCACACUCCGGCACAUCUAUGGGACUGAAUUUUCACGUUUCGGUAAGCUAACUGGGAUCGAGUACGCCGAUGUACUAACAAUUCGAGUUUGGAUUCUGUGAGAAGACAAAUAAUGUUUUAAGCAUGUGAAUUGUGUUGUUGAAUUGUCAUGUUGAUAAUGUUGUUUAUAUUGAUAUAUAUGCAUGUCAUUAUAAUAUUUCUUCAACUUAUUUAUAUUGUACUAGUGGGAUAGUCGCGUUGAUCUUACCAGUACACAGUGAUUCUGUACGGAUUCUACACUUACUUUUAUUUUUGUUGACUACAGGUCAUCUUCAAGUGGAUAUUUAUAGACCGCACUUAGGAUAUUAGAGUUAUCGCAUCGACUUCAAGGGUAAGUUGCAUCUUCUAGGCUGCCAUGAAGUUCUCUUCAGUCUAUGUCCACCAUUUCCGAACUUAGACCAUUGUUUUAGAUAUAGUUCAUUAGUAUUUUCCUGUUUAGACUUGGUUACCACUAGUAGUUUUGGUACACUGACUUUCAGAUUCUAAAUUUAUCUUCCACAAUAUUUAGUUUUUAGAUCUUUUGUUUAGUAAUGAACUUUGCUUUUAGUUAUUUAACUUGCUUCUGUAACUUAAAUGCCUUAGUUGUAGAAUAAAUGCUUUAGUUGGAUAGUAGUAGUGGUUCUCCCAUCGGCUUGUAAGUGUGGGUGACAAUCACGACGGGUUUGGGUCGUUACAUAUAUUUUGCGUAAUUGCACUCCAUAGCAAACACAAAUAUGUAUAUAUUCGCUAUGCAUAUACUAAGAAAGCAAUUGUAUAAUUCACCAUACAUAUACAAAAAAUGUAUUUGUAUAAUUCGCUAUACAUAUAUAUAAAAGAAAAUAUUUGUUAUAAUAUUUCGAUUUACAUAUACAAAAUAUCAAUUAUAUAAUAUGUGUUUAAUUUGUAUAAAGCGAGAAAAAGAGAAAGGCGAGAAAACUGGGCAGGGGAAGAUUGUAUUUGUAUAAUCAUAAUUGUAUAGGACAAAAAUACAUGCAUUUGUAUUCGUAUAUACAAUUUUCUAUCGCUUUAUACAAACACAACACAAUGUAUACAUUUGUGUUUGUAUAAAGUGAGAGAGGCGAGCGAAAUCUCAGAGAAGAGAGAGAGUGGAACGAAAAUAUAUGUAUAUAUACAAUUUUCUCUCGCUUUUUACAAAUAUAAACACAUUUUAGAUAUUUGUGUUCGUACAAAAGUGAGAGAGACAAGUGAGAUUGUCACCAAAUGACAGUGACAAGCGAGAUUCCACCAUGGAGAGAGGCAAAAUUAGCAAUAGUUUGUUGUAGGGUACAAUUAUAUCAAACUAUAUUAAAGCAUUUAAUUUGAAUUAAUAAUUUGUUAUUCUAUACAAUUUUUUCAAAAAAAAAAGAAAUUGAAUACUGAUAUUAUAUAUAAAUUGGGACCAAAUGAUCAAAUUUUUAAAAAGUUUGUAAUAAUUUUUGGACUAAAUUUCUUUUGUUACAAUAUUUGGACCAAACAAAAUAUUAUAACAACUUUUAGAAAACCCUAAAUUCCAUAUACCCCUCGUAUAUAUAAUUAUGUUUUACCUCUCAUUCUAACGCAGCUAAAUCUAUUGCGGCGCGAAGAUGAAGGGAGUUCAGAAAAAUAAAGAAGAAAAUGAUAAUAAUGAUGAUGAAACCCGUUUUCAACAUGAAUCCUCUUCAUCAAUUCUUCAUAGUUGAAUUAACGAAUAGCAAGUUUGUAUGUUUUUCUCUUCCUAUUCUUUUUUAUUUGUUUGUUUGAUGAUAUAUGAAUACAUGUUUGGAUACUUGAAUGAAGUAUCUUUUGCAAAUAUUCUUAUUUCCUUAAACUACAUAUGCUUGACGAGAACUUUUCAGUUUUAAUUAGUUAUUAUAUUUGAUUAAAUAAAAGUUAAUCGACCGGUGUUAAAUCAUAGAAGUUAAGUCGACCGGUGUUAAAUCUUAGAAGUUGAGUUAUCUUUUGCCAAGAAAAAACGAUUCAUAUUUUUCCUCUUUUCUUGUUGAAUUGCUUCCAUUUACUUUAUAAGUGCUUCACACAAAUGCAUUUCUUUUCUUGGUGCUCUUGUUCUUAAUAUCGCACAAGUGAUAUUUUAAACAAUUAAAGAAACCAUCAAUCGUAUGAUUAAUAUUAAUCUACAUUCAAUGGUCUUGUGAACUGGCUUACUAAAAUUAAAUUAUACAUUGGUGCUAACAAUAUGUAUAAGUCAAUGUUGAAGAUGUUCUAUUAAGCUAUUUUUCACAAAUCAUUAAAUUUGGUUUUAUGUUUAUCAUCUUAGUGUUGGUUGCUUUGGUUGUUUCAAUAAUCGCUUGUGUGAUACUAACAAUAAGAGAAGAAAAUGGCUCUUAUAAAUCAGAUGGAAGGAACUCAACAAAAGAAAGAAAAAGUUUGAACAAAAGCACUGCAUUUAUUCAAGCAAAUCACGAUCUUAGAGUUUCGUCAUCUUAAAAAUAAGAUGUGUAAUAUUUUAUACAAUGUAAAAGUUAAAUAAUAAUUUGAUAGUG